AUGUUUUGGACAACUCAGAUCACACUGCAGAGCCUUGAGGGACUUGAGAACAAAGAUUUUGAAAAGCUUAAGUAUUUGCUGAAUAGUUGCCAUGAGCAAAGGAGCCAACAAGAUUUCAGGCAGGUCCUUGAGAGGCSUUGCAGAUCAAUAUCUGAGCACCAAAACCUCAAACUUGGAAUGCUAUGUGCAAAGUUUUUGUGCAAAAAUUGGUAUUUGUGUGUAUAAUGG
rnacentral:lncRNA from 1 species